rnacentral:rRNA from 1 species
ACGGGAGGCAGCAGUGGGGAAUAUUGGACAAUGGGCGAAAGCCUGAUCCAGCGACGCCGCGUGAGUGAAGAAGUAUUUCGGUAUGUAAAGCUCUAUCAGCAGGGAAGAUAAUGACGGUACCUGACUAAGAAGCCCCGGCUAACUACGUGCCAGCAGCCGCGGUAAUACGUAGGGGGCAAGCGUUAUCCGGAUUUACUGGGUGUAAAGGGAGCGUAGACGGUAUGGCAAGUCUGAUGUGAAAACCCAGGGCUCAACCCUGGGACUGCAUUGGAAACUGUCAAACUAGAGUGCAGGAGAGGUAAGUGGAAUUCCUAGUGUAGCGGUGAAAUGCGUAGAUAUUAGGAGGAACACCAGUGGCGAAGGCGGCUUUCUGGACUGUAACUGACACUGAGGCACGAAAGCGUGGGGAGCAAACAGGAUUAGAUACCCUGGUA